AUUGCUUUCAGAAGCAGAAGAAAGAACUGAGCUGCUUAGUAUCAUUUUUCCAGAAUGAUUUUGUGUCAUAAUGAAAUGAGCAGAGCUUCACAGUCUGUGAAAUGAGUAUUUUUUGACCCUACAAUAGAACAUAUUCAUCUGAGCUCAUAGAAAAUGUAGCAGAUGUGUUCUUUAUUCUGGGAGGCCAAAGGCACAGAGAAGGGCAGGGGCCUCUAGAAUCAGGAGCAAGUGAUUGACGUACCUCACUGGCCAUACUGUCCACAAGGAGAGCAUCAGCGUCCAUCAGAAGUCAGGAUCUACUGGCAGAUGACUUCACCCCUGUCUCUGAGGAGAAGAGCAUAACGAGGAAGAGGAGUCAGACGACAUAGUACAGAGCAAAAGCGACUUUUAUUGCAAGAGAAAGCAGUACAAAGCUACUCCGAGGAGUGGG